rfam:Trichuris trichiura, WGS project CBXK01000000 data, contig: TTRE_648
AGUGCUUCAAUGGAAACAUUAAGCACCAUGUUGGUGCAAUGACCUUUGGAUAACCCUUUUUAUGCUCCGUGAAAGCGAUCACAAAGGGACUCUGCAAUACUUGUUUGC